rnacentral:rRNA from 1 species
UACGAAGGGGGCUAGCGUUGCUCGGAAUUACUGGGCGUAAAGCGCACGUAGGCGGAUUGUUAAGUCGGGGGUGAAAUCCUGGAGCUCAACUCCAGAACUGCCUUCGAUACUGGCGAUCUCGAGUUCGGGAGAGGUGAGUGGAACUGCGAGUGUAGAGGUGAAAUUCGUAGAUAUUCGCAAGAACACCAGUGGCGAAGGCGGCUCACUGGGCCGAUACUGACGCUGAGGAGCGAAAGCGUGGGGAGCGAACAGG